UAGUUCAGUUGGUUAGAAUACCGGCCUGUCACGCCGGGGGUCGCGGGUUCGAGCCC
rnacentral:tRNA from 1 species